rnacentral:lncRNA from 1 species
CUUCCUUCGGGAUUGCAGGUUGAAUGCGUUACAUGCAGUGAGAAAGUACGUUGAAAAAAUAUUCUAUUUAUUUUUGUAAUAUUAUGUUCUGUAUAUCGCGAUGAGUCGAUUAUAUAUAUUUUUGAUUCUAUUGGAGAAUGCAGAAAUAUAUUUCUAUAUAUUUUUUUUUCAACUCUAUUUUAUCUAAUAGUGUUAGAUAAAUCUCAAUACCAAAUUAAGUUUAAAUAAAGUUUAACGGUAUGAAAAAUUUUAAAAACUUUAUUUAGAGCCAAACA